rnacentral:rRNA from 1 species
GACGAACGCUGGCAGCGUGCCUAAUACAUGCAAGUUGAGCGCUGAAGGUUGGUACUUGUACCAACUGGAUGAGCAGCGAACGGGUGAGUAACGCGUGGGGAAUCUGCCUUUGAGCGGGGGACAACAUUUGGAAACGAAUGCUAAUACCGCAUAAAAACUUUAAACACAAGUUUUAAGUUUGAAAGAUGCAAUUGCAUCACUCAAAGAUGAUCCCGCGUUGUAUUAGCUAGUUGGUGAGGUAAAGGCUCACCAAGGCGAGGAUACAUAGCCGACCUGAGAGGGUGAUCGGCCACAUUGGGAGUGAGACACGGCCCAAUCUCCUACGGGAGGCAGCAGUAGGGAAUCUUCGGCCAUGGACGAAAGUCUGACCGAGCAACGCCGCGGGAGUGAAGAAGGUUGUCGGGUCGUAAAACUCUGUUGGUAGAGAAGAACGUUGGUGAGAGUGGAAAGCUCAUCAAGUGACGGUAACUACCCAGAAAGGGACGGCUAACUACGUG